UGAUUAACUGGACGUUACCCACAGAAGAAGCACCGGCUAACUCCGUGCCAGCAGCCGCGGUAAUACGGAGGGUGCGAGCGUUAAUCGGAAUUACUGGGCGUAAAGGGUGCGUAGGUGGUUGAUUAAGUUAUCUGUGAAAUUCCUGGGCUUAACCUGGGACGGUCAGAUAAUACUGGUUGACUCGAGUAUGGGAGAGGGUAGUGGAAUUUCCGGUGUAGCGGUGAAAUGCGUAGAGAUCGGAAGGAACACCAGUGGCGAAGGCGGCUACCUGGCCUAAUACUGACACUGAGGCACGAAAGCGUGGGGAGCAAACAGGAUUAGAUACCCUGGUAGUCCACGC
rnacentral:rRNA from 1 species